rnacentral:tRNA from 1 species
GCUGUAGUGAAGUGGUUAUCACUCUUGACUUUGAAUCAAGCAUCCUGAGUUCGAAUCUCAGC